rnacentral:lncRNA from 1 species
CCAGGUUAUAAAUGUGAUAUUAUAAUAUCCUUGGAUAAGUUGUUAAACAAAUGUUUCAGUUGAUUGCUCUGUAUUUUAAAUUUCAGACCUCAUCAAAAUGCUUAUAAAACAAAAUUAUAAAGAAAAUCACCAAUAUAUACUUUGAAGAUGAAAGAGCCUGACUAGCACAAUCUAUGUUGGUUGAUUGCUCCUCAGAAAAUCUUCCACAACUGUGAUUGGAUUUGCAAAUGUCAGAGUUCAAAGUUAAUGUCUCCUAUGAAUUGGGCAAUGGAUGUUUCUUUGACAGACGAGACCAGAAACAGCUGGGUGAUGAGUUGUUUCACAAAGUGAGUGAAACUCCCAAGGAGGGAGGGGCUAUCGGAUUCUCGAGUCUUCCAAUGGUCAAAUAAUAAAAAAGUCUUUUGUCUAAGGGACAUUUUUUACCUCUCUUCCAAAACUGAAACUAAAAUUGUCAAAUUCAUUUCAUAUUAAGGGUUGACACUCUCACAUAGCUUAGAACUUGGGAAUGAAAGAAAAUAUUAGCUUUCAGUAGUCUUAUUAUUUCCCCACUAUCAGAAUAAGCCUAAUGAAUGGAUUUGAGAAGGCAGAGACAUCACAGUUCCUUAGAAUCUCCCACUCUUUAU